rnacentral:rRNA from 1 species
AAUCAACGCUGGCGGCGUGCCUCAGACAUGCAAGUCGAACGAUUAAAGCUCUCUUCGGAGAGUGUAUAGAGUGGCGCACGGGUGAGUAACACGUAAGUAAUCUACCUUUGAGUGGGGAAUAACCCGGGAACCCGAGCUAUACCGCAUAAUGCAGCGGCACCGCAAGGUGACAGUUGUUAAAGGAGCAAUCCGCUUAAAGAGGAGCUUGCGGCAGAUUAGCUAGNGGUAAGGUAAUGGCUUACCAAGGCUUCGAUCUGUAUCCGGCCUGAGAGGGCGGUCGGACACACUGACACUGAAUAACGGGUCAGACUCCUACGGGAGGCAGCAGUCGGGAAUUUUGGGCAAUGGGCGAAAGCCUGACCCAGCAACGCCGCGUGAAGGAUGAAGUAUUUCGGUAUGUAAACUUCGAAAGAAUGGGAAGAAUCAAUGACGGUACCAUUUAUAAGGUCCGGCUAACUACGUGCCAGCAG